AUAAAGUGGGGUGGGGUUCGGCCUCCUGGUGCUUACCACAGGCUGUGUUCUUACACUGACUGUACAGAAAUAGGAGGCAGAGUAAACUUACCCCAUAUACACCUCAGCUCAGGCUCUUUGCCUGGUCUGUAUUGUGAAUGGGGAGACAUUGAAAAAAAAAA